rnacentral:rRNA from 1 species
AGCGAACGCUGGCGGCAGGCUUAACACAUGCAAGUCGAGCGGGCACUUCGGUGUCAGCGGCAGACGGGUGAGUAACACGUGGGAACGUACCCUUUGGUUCGGAAUAACGCUGGGAAACUAGCGCUAAUACCGGAUACGCCCUUUUGGGGAAAGGCUUGCUGCCGUUGGAUCGGCCCGCGUCUGAUUAGCUAGUUGGUGGGGUAAUGGCCUACCAAGGCGACGAUCAGUAGCUGGUCUGAGAGGAUGAUCAGCCACACUGGGACUGAGACACGGCCCAGACUCCUACGGGAGGCAGCAGUGGGGAAUAUUGGACAAUGGGCGAAAGCCUGACGCAGCCAUGCCGCGUGAGUGAUGAAGGCCUUAGGGUUGUAAAGCUCUUUUGUCCGGGACGAUAAUGACGGUACCGGAAGAAUAAGCCCCGGCUAACUUCGUG